GUCUGUGAGCAGUUCUGGAGGUUUAAGAUUGGAUCUGUGAACCCCUCACAUUACCAGAUAAUCUGGGUCGAACAUCGGUACAAGAUCAAGCAGCUUGUGGCCUAACAGGACGCUCCCUCAAACAGCGAUGCAAAUAGUCGCCCCAGCUGUCACCUAUCAGGGAGGAUCCUCGUAUGGUCGUUGCUCAGGGCAAAGGGUCAAACUGUGUGUCACAGGGAGGUGUCAGGUUAUGACAAGGCAUCGUAGCUCGGGGAGGGCAGACAAGCUCAGAGAGAUGGAAGUGGUUGUGGUGGCUGUCGAGGUGGUUGUCGUGGUGACGUCCCAUCCCUGAAGGUCAGACUGGCUAAUGGUUGUCCAGGAUAACUUUACUAUUAACAAAGCUACUGCCUUCAAGAGGCCUGGAUGAGUGCAUACAGAGUCAUGUGCCCGGCAGUUCCCCGCCUCAUCCUCAGACAGACACAGUGCUGCUCUAAUUAGCUGACCUGUCACCAUCGACACCCACAGCUGUGCAGCGCUCAGGGAGCAGGCUGAGCACAGACAGAGGCUGCAAGGUGCAGGGAAAGCCAGCAGUGAAAACACAGACACUGAUGAACACGUCCAAGUCUUCUGUCAUCGCUCCCUCAGGACAGAGGACGCCACCUCAUGCUCUUGCCUGAGAGGUCAUAUUGCAGAUUUACAUAUUUCAUUGUGAUUAUAUCGAGACUCUGAGUUAUAUUUGGCAACUUGGUUAUUGUAAAAAAGCGUUUUUAGUGCAUUUAGCCCUUGUGUUUUAUUGACAUUGGCUUUCCUCUACCUUAUGACUCUCAAAGCGUCUUUUUUUUCCUUAAUCUUAUUUUUUUUUCUUAUAUUUUAAUACCCAAUGUGUAGAAAAGUGUGAACGUGGUAACCUGUGAUUCCUUUUGCCACAGCCUGUUCUUGUUUUUACACCAAAUAAGGACAUUCCCAUGGGCUAUGCAUGAACAAUAUAUGUUAUAUGUUGACCCCAAAACAUACAUAGAGUGGUUUCACUCCCCAUUAUAAUUCAUGUGAGCAAACAAACUGAUGUAAAUUUCAGAAAUCCAAACAAACCUGUAUUUGGGUGGGAUAGUGCUGUCAACACCAACCAUGGACUUUUCCAUAGGAGACCACUGUUACUUUCCAGCUUCUAACCACAAGUGUCACAUUUCCAACCCUGAGUCGGAACAGUUUAAAAAAAAAUGUAACUGCGAUCAUACUCUAACCUUAAUCCUGUGGUUAUUAUUGUAGCCAUGACAACAAAGGUCACCUAACUUUAAGGAAGUAGUAACUUUAACCCACAUCACAUGAUUCUCUAACCUAACAAAGGGAUCAUUUUAACCCAAACCAUGAUCGUUCCCUAAACCUAACCAAGUGUUUUUUGUGCAUAAACCUAA